UCUUAGCCCCGAUGGGAACGACAUCCUUUUUUGUUUUGGUGAAGGAAAUCAGGUUCGGAAAAAACAAAAAAGAUAUAGUGAACAGCGGGAAAUAGC
rnacentral:sRNA from 1 species